GCAGGAGUCAGUGCCUGUCAGGACACAGCAUAGACAUGAGGGCCCCUGCUCAGCUCCUGGGCCUCCUGCUGCUCUGGCUCCUAGGUGCCAGAUGUUCCGGCCAAACAAUAACCCAGACUGAAUCCCCGGUGUCUGCAAAUGUGGGAGGCACAGUUACCAUCAAUUGCCAGUCAAGUCAGAGUGUUUACUACAGCAAUGCUCUAGCCUGGUAUCAGCAGAAACCAAGGCAGCCUCCGAAGCUCCUGAUCUAUGGUGCAUCCAAUUUAGCCUCUGGGGUUCCUGACAGGUUCGAGGGCAGUGGAUUUGGGACAUCAUUCACUCUCACCAUCAGCGGGGUGCAGGCUGUGGAUGUUGGAACCUACUACUGUCUUGGGUUUUAUUAUACUAGUGGUUGUUUGACUCCCACAGUGAUACAAGCCUGAACAAAAACCUCCCAG